AAAAAUCAAACCCACGAGUUGAGCUUCUUUCAUAUGGGAGUUAGACUAUGACCCUUAUCAAUUCACCUUUUUAUUCAUUGUCGGCUUCCCUCACCUUCCUCCUUCACCUUUUUUUCAUUGUCGGUGCCUCACCUUCCUCCUUUAACAAGUUAACCCAGACCACUCUCCAUUUUUACCUCCUUCAAACACUUUUGUGCUCUUCGUCAAACCCAGUUCCAUUCAACAACUUAGAAACCCUAAGACCAUAAUCGAUUGAACCCAUAACUAAUCGAUUGAACCCAUAACUAAGAAAUCCUAUAAACCAAUUAAAACCCUAGAAAUCAAUUGAACCCAUAACUCAAUUCAAUUUAUUUGGUUCCUAAAAUCUAUUGAAACCCUAAAACCAUCUUCCAUUUGAAAAUACUGUGUGUCCAAGAUUCCAGAUUUUGAUUCACAUAAAAGUAAGCUUUACAUGUAAUAUCUUCUUCAAUCCUCAAACUUGACAAGGUGAGGAGUUUUUGUGGCAUAUACACCUAUACUGAAGAAAGCUGAAUGGGUGGUAGUCAUUAGAGACCAAUCUUUCUCAUACUGUUUCUUAUUUUCAUCAGUGGCAUUCCACUGCUCGAGGUUUUCUUUUACCUCUGCUUUGGUCAAAAUUAAGAUGAAGUAUUUCACUUUUCUGAUGAUGAACUACACAAUGGUGGCAAGAAUCAACAAAUUAGAAGUUUGAGAACAUGGAUGGAUGUACAAACUAAGAACCAGCCCAUAUGUGGUUCCGUGUGCAAGACUUGGCGGCUUCCCUAUCAGAAGGUCAUUUUACCUCCUCCUACGGUCAAGCAUGAGAAGUUCCUUGCGGUAGUUGGUGUAGUGGGUCUUGCAUUUCCCUAGAAGAUGUUGCACGUAUAUGAUAUUUAUCUCUUAUAGGCAUCUCCAAUAUUCGCCUUGCAAACCAUGAUGGACUAUACAUACUUGAAACUACUCUAGUUUCAUUUCAAGAUUCCAGAUAUAAGGCUCGAUAAAGUUCAAGAUAAGGCUGCCACGAAGACUAUUUGCUUUGAAUUCUCUAAAGAUUAUAUGUAUUUUCUUUUAUAAAAAUUAAUGCAUUUUAACAAGGAUUAGAAUGUCAAGGUCUAUGUUACAUUCAAGUGGUUAUUAAUAUUUGUUAAUUAUAUGCAUACUUUUCA